rnacentral:rRNA from 1 species
ACGACUCUCGGCAACGAAUAUCUCGGCUCUCGCAUCGAUGAAGAACAUAGCGAAAUGCGAUACCUGGUGUGAAUUGUAGAAUCCCGCAAACCAUCGAGUCUUUAAACGCAAGUUGUGCCCGAGGCCAUCCAGCCGAGGGCACGCCUGCCUGGGCGUCACACCAAA